UCAGAACAGAACAGCUUUUCUUUACAGUUGCUGCUGUCUGAAAAAGUGAGAGUGGCCUCUGACCUCUGGUCUAAAAUCAGCUAUGAUUCAUCCCAGUUUGAUGAGGAAGGCAGUCACCAGCUGUGAAGGGCGACCUGUAUGUCAGAACGGGACACCUGCUGUCAGAUCACGUUGCUCAGGACACCUCAGGUCUGUCUUUGACGUGCUGUUUUAGAGUGGAGGGGAUUCCUUGUGCUUGUGUGCCUGCAGAAAGUACAGUACGCAGCACUGGAAACAGGUCCGACCUUCACAAGCAGGCGACCUGAGGAUGAACCUACUACUCAUGUGGUGCACGCUGGUUCUGUUUCUCUGUUUGAGCAGUGAAGAAAUGGCUGAGGCGAAAAGAGAACCAGCAAUUGGACAUUUGUAUGGUGUGAAGAAAGGACAAUACAACGCCAGAAACUCUAAAAGACACUCAGACGGGACCUUCACCAGUGACUUCGCCCGCUACCUUGAUAAGAUCAAGGCUAAGGAUUUCGUGGAGUGGCUGACCAGCACCAAGCGAGAAGGAUGUCAUGAAGAGCAGUUUCACGUUGCAGCAGGUGUGUAAGAUGAUUGCGCUGCCAUGGUCGUCGCUGCAUGCUGUCAUUCAGUAGCGUAUGGAAAGUCCUCAGCAUUAAUAUGGAACGACCGGCCACUUUGUUUAUUGUGUUUUUGGAUAAAUGUCAAUGUCUUAAUUAUUUUUUUUCCAAAGCCAUUAUUUGCUUUUUUAAAUCAGUAGUAAAAAUGUGAUGAAAAAAACAGUACAAUAACUAAUUUUUUUAAUAUUGUUAAUAUUAUUAAUUAUUAUUUUAAUAUUUAGUAAUAUUUAGUAUUGUGAAUUCACUGGCACAGCUUCAGUGUUGUCAUGCACGGAAAUGUAUUUAAUUUAGAAUUUUAGAAUACAAUUUUCAAAAAUCAAAUUCAAAAUCAGCAAUAAAAAAUGUUACACGUU